AGCGUGAGGCUCCAAGGGAUGCCACGAGGGAACGUCGAAACGGUAAUAUCUUCAGGUCUCCAUUUUUUUCAGCAUUUACGAAUUGAAAAAGAAAAAGGAAUCUAGCCUCCCUGCGAGCAGCUGCCGGUCAUUUCUCCAAUUCUCCUCCACGGGAUCGCAAUCAGCAAGAGCUCGAAAGGCCAAAAUCGCUCGCCCGCAAAUCACUACCCACCUCGACAUGCUCGGAGCGGUCUCACAUCCACCUCGCCCGCCCUUGCUCAUCUCCGGAUGCCGACCCAAUGCCGCCCCCUUCUGUGUCCUCCAAAGGCGUCCUCUCCUUCGAGCCUUCUCCACAAUCCCUCGUCUCAAUAGUUUCCACUCUCCUCUCAUCCCCAAAGCAUCAGUUGGGAGUUCGGAGUAUGUAGUGGAGACUGGGACCAAUGUAAAAUUCCCAAGGGAGCUGAGAGUUCCUGGCUGCUCGGGCUCACUGGUUUUACUCGGCACAGGUUAUAGAGAGAAGGUCUUUGCAAUUAUUGGCGUCAAGGUGUAUGCUGCAGGAUUUUAUGUUGAACCUUCUAUCAGAGAGAGAUUGGAUGCCUGGAAAGGAAAGCCGGCUACUGAGGUUUUAGGGGAUUGCUCAUUGUUCAGCUUAAUCUUACAAGCACCCUUGGAGAAAUCACUAAAUAUUAUGCUGGUCAGAGAUGUUGAUGGCAAGACAUUUUGGAAUGCCUUAGAUGAUGUUAUCUCUCCCAGAAUCAAGAACCCUACAUCUGUUGAUGAAUCUGCACUACUAACUUUCCGCAGCACCUUUCAAAGCCGUGAUCUAAAACAAGGAACUUUCAUAUUUUUGACAUGGGUGGUACCAUCCAAAAUGCUGAUUUCCAUCUCAUCUGGUGGCUUUCCUUCAAAUGUUGAUGCUGAAAUUGAAUCAGCAAAUGUUAACAUGGCCCUUUAUGAUGCCUUUUUCGGAGAAUCUCCUGUUUCUCCCACCUUAAAGACCUCAGUGGUGAAUGGGCUGACAGAGGUCUUCAGCUAAAUCCAGAUUCAAGAAUUUACAAAAAUCAUUGCUGCACGAUUUACAUGAGAUCUUUCUCAUUGGUACAUAAGACAUUAAAAAAUGGCAUUCCAUAAUCCUCAAGAAAUCUGCUUGUUACAUGGACCAAGGUUAGAGUAUAUUGAGACCAGCUACAGAUUUGUUUGGUUUAUUUGCUCAAGCAUUUUAAGAACUGCAGCCAUGGUUGGUCUCUUGGAGGGAUCUGAUUCUAGGCAUUUUUCUGCAAUGUUGAACACUUUCUUGACUUCUUCCAUUGGAAAACAUACCAGGGAACUGUCGAUUGCAUGUUCUUCUCUCUUGUCUUUGACAACUUCUUUCACCUAUUACCCCAUACAUUUCAUCAAAAUCAGAAGUCAUCAGAGGCAGAUUAAAGAGCAACUUAAAGUAAUAAGAGAUGCAUCAGCAAGAUGUAAAUGUGAAUUUUGGGGCACUGCAUAUGCAUAAGUUGCUAUCUUGAAAGCUGCAGAAUUCACGGAGGUCCUUGGUAAUCAAGGUUGCAGUUAGAACAAUUUCUCAUUGCUAAGCUUAAAUAAGUAGACAACUUGACAGGAUGUUCUGUUGUCUAGCAUUCAAAAGAAUAACCUGGAAACUGUCAUGACAUUGGACAUGUGGACAUAUUUGAAUUACAUAUGUGCCUUUGUAAAUAUGUAGCAUAUGAUGAAUAAUAAGUCAGACAAAUCCACUUUAUACUUAAAGUUGGAUACCUUUGUAAAUAUGUGGCAUGUGAUACAUGAUUCUUUUUUAUGAAAGCUAAUUGUUAUAUUAACGCUUGACAACUUUUACAAAGAAAUGUAAAAAGUUGGCAUUCCAAAGUUAAUAUGUCAUGUUUUGUCGAUUUAAAGUGUCCAAUGUCCACAUUUCCAGCACCUCAAGAAACUCAAACUUGAAAUGUCCAAUGUCCACAUACCUUGAAGGCAACCUUGCAUCUUUUUCUAGAUAUGAUAUCCGGCAAAAUAUAUUUUGACAUUUUGAUGAAAAAUCUGACCGUUGUAACAACUAAAGGUAGAUGAGCCAUGACCUUGCUUGAUCUAUAUUAAGGAAUAUGUUGAAUAUAAUUGGUAGGCUUUUACAGUUUCAGUACAUUCAAUAAUAUAUAAACUUUUGAACUGGAUCAGUGAUGCAACCAUAUCAAUCCACGCAACGUGUUCAUUGAAAGAGACCAAAUAAUAAAAGCAUUUGCUUGGCUUGAAUACAUGUAGGAAGGUUCAGCAAGGAGGCGGCCUAUCAUGAUACAGUUGUAAGGCCUUACCGCAGCAGAGGCAGCAGAGUUCUCGAAUCCUUCUGAGGUGCUUUGGAAGAUGAAAGGUUCUCAGCUCGGCAAAAGGUGAAGAAGAACUCCAGCAUGGACUUAACACCAACAAAAGUUGGGCGAAUCAGCCGAGCAUCUGUCUGAUGGGCAUGGAUGACAACAUUUGGGAAGGGCAUGUGUCCAUUUUGAUGAUCUAUUAGGUGUAAAGGCAAAAAAACCAACCAAAAACACCGGUUGAAUCAUGUGAAGCCCUGACCUGAAGUCGUGUUGUUUGCUGGCACUUUGAUCUCAUCUCCUCGCACACUUUUUGCCCAUUGUUGGUUUUAAAGUAUCGUACUUGGAAUGAUUUUGGCCCAUCCUUGCCAUAAAAAACUGGUCAAAGAUGGGUGCCAGCAGUGGAAUUAAUCCCUUCAUCU